rnacentral:misc_RNA from 1 species
GAUGAAGAACGCAGCGAAAUGCGAUACUUGGUGUGAAUUGCAGAAUCCCGUGAACCAUCGAGUCUUUGAACGCAAGUUGCGCCUCAAGCCAUUAGGUUGAGGGCACGUCUGCCUGGGCGUCACAUAUCGUUGCCUGAUGCCAGUUUCCUCGUGAUGGGUGACUGUGCAGGGCGAAUGAUGGCUUCCCGUGAGCAUUGUUGCCUCAUGGUUGGUUGAAAAUUGAGUCCUUGGUAGGGAGCGCCGUGAUAGAUGGUGGUUGAGUGACGAACGAGACCCAAUCAUGUGAGACCCCUACCGAAUUUGGCCUUCAUGACCCACAUGCGUCUUUGGAACGCUCAUGACGAGACCUCAGGUCAGGCGGGGCUACCCGCUGAGUUUAAGCAUAUCAAAAAGCGGAGGA